UCCAGCUCCAAAAGCGUAUAUUAAAGUUGCUGCAGUUAAAAAGCUCGUAGUUGAAUCUGGGUCGUGCGGUCGCAUGCCGUUGCUUGUUCACGGUUUUGGUUACGAUCAGGACCAGUGUUCAGCUCGGUGUAGUGGCUGUGCAGCCUUUCAGCCGUGUCUGUGUUAAACGGGUGCUGGUGGGUUGACGAGUUCGUCUUGUUGACCUGUCGGCAUGCUUCCGGAUGCCUUUAAACGGGUGUCGGGAGCGGACGGCAUCUUUACUUUGAACAAAUUUGAGUGCUCAAAGCAGGCCUAUGUGCCUGAAAAUUCUUGCAUGGAAUAAUGAAAUAGGACUUC
rnacentral:rRNA from 1 species